rnacentral:rRNA from 1 species
GACGUAGGGGGCCAGCGUUGCUCGGAAUUACUGGGCGUAAAGGGUUCGUAGGCGGUGCGGCAAGUCGGGAGUGAAAUCUCUGGGCUUAACUCAGAGGCUGCUUCCGAAACUGCCGUGCUAGAGUGCGGGAUAGGCGAGUGGAAUUGCGGGUGUAGCGGUGAAAUGCGUAGAUAUCUGCAGGAACACCCGUGGCGAAGGCGGCUCGCUGGACCGCAACUGACGCUGAGGAACGAAAGCUAGGGGAGCAAACAGG